UCAAACUACAUUCAUAAUAUCCAGUUCAUGUUCAAUACGCAAUACAUAUACAAACAAUUGCACUCUUCUCUUCAUCACAAGGUAUCAUUGAUUAAUGCAUCCAUUCAAUAUAUACAUACAAGAUUCAUUAGUUUUCUUCACUAAAGAUGGCUACAACCAUGAAGGAUAUACACAAGUCAGAUAUACAACAUAGGCAUGUUACAAAUAUAAUGGCUAAAAUUCCUAAGAGACCAAGUGCUUGAUCACUGAACUGACUACAGAAUAUUAUGAAGAUCAGCUCUUCAAUCGCCAAGCCAAGUCAACUUCCAUAUGAACAAAAUGUGUCAUCCAUGUUUUCAACAAAACCAAUCACGAGGACAUGUUCAAUCAACUAGCAGGCUUGCUACUUUCUAUCAUUUGUCCCUACAAAAUAAUUCAGUAAUCUUAGAAAUAAUACAAUUUGUUCAACUUUGUGAGUGAGUCCAAAGAUCCAAGAAACAAAAGAUGUACAACAUACAAGCUUGCUUACAAGAAAAGUAAACAAAUACUUGACUGCAUGACCUCUCCAAUAAAAAUUAUGCAUGUCUUUUUAUUUACUAUUACAUUUGAAACAUAAAACAAAUAAGGAGGCCUUUUAUCUACUAAAUAAAGGAUCUGAAAAAUAAAGCCAAUUAUCUCAAGAAUAUUAUAACUAUGCAAAGAUUCAAGUUACAAAAGAUAACCUUAUUAGAAUGUAAACCAAAGUCAGCAUAGCACCUAGUAUAUUACAAAUGGCUUACUAUAAAAAUGUCUGAACUUGUUGAUGAGCAAUCAGGUAUGUUCUAAGACAAGAUGAGUAAGGUCCUUAGUGUAAUUUCAGAGAUUUCGAAGUUACUGAAUCGGCAAAAAAUCACAUAAGUACUAUUACAUAUACAUGUACCAGCAGUCAUAUAUGUAUUAGUGCACUUGGUGAAAACAAGUCAAUUUACAGGAUAUUGCUUGUGUUCUGGUUCAUGCAUGCUAUGAAACAUUGUGUGGUAUACAAUAGAGGUUCGCAUAUAUUGUUCUCUGAUAUGGUCAAAAUCCUCAGACUGAACAGAUGCUGAAAAAGCUACCAAAACUAUGUUUCUCUAAAAAAAGAGUCAGAUGUAAACCUAAUAUGUGGGCUGAACUAAAUAUUCUUCCCUAAAAAAUAAUGGAAGUAGUUUUUUUGUGGCUGAUCUUUAAAAGAAAGCAAGCUUCAGUUUAGCUACUAGGAAUUGCACACUUACGGACAUUUGUACCACUCACCUUAUUUGAACAAAUAUGCAAGAAAACAUUUAGUUUAGCUUGUGUACUAAAUCACGCAUUUCUGCUAGCUUUCAUGAUUAAGUCUCUGAACUUGAUACUAUUUGCAUGAUAAUGGGGGUUGCACUACACACAUGUAAAUAUAGAAACCAAACAUUCUAUGUUCUGCUAUAACCCAGAUUUAGCAUCACUUUAUCGUGCCCAUCAUGAACCUGUGUCAUCUCAUGGAAAAAAGUUCACAAGAAUAAUACCUGAUAUAACUUAACAAAAGUUGUCUGAAUUAGAAGAUCCAUUUGCCAUCUUGUGCUAUACAAUCCGUGAAACCUAUGGAGGGCCAUGCACAAAAAACUAAAUUAGUGUCCACAUGUUUUAGAUAAGACUUCAAAAAGAUGAUAACUAAGCAUUGUACCACGGGCCGAGAUACUAAACUAUUAGGCAAUGGUGUUUCCACAUUUCGGAUUCCUAGACAAAAAAGAACUUGAUGCGUCUCUCCAAUUUUUCAUUGCAUUUGUUCCGUGCGCUCUAGUAGAGUACAAACUUGAUCAUCUUGUGUUCCUUCGCUUGGUUCCUUCUAUAGUAGAGUACAAACUUUCGCACACCUCCUCUUGGUUCCUUCUCUACAAAAGCACGAGCAUGAAAAAUCUCCUUGUGUAGGUUUUUCCUUCAAUUCUGGGUGGAGUUCAGCUGCUUCUUCAGGUUGUUUCUGCAAAAAAUAGAGCAACUGAGGCACCUAAAAUUAUUUCUAUAAUGACCUCAGUGUAGUUUUAGUCGUCAUCAAUUAAUAUGCAGUCACAAAAUUGACUGUACUAAAGAAAAGCACAUGAUGUGUAUCUCUGACUAACAAUUAGUGUCUCUGCUUGUGCGGUAGGAACUCCAGUUGUAUGUGAUGUACUCUGAUAAAUAUUUCAUCUACCCGCAGGUCAUAGUCAAGUUCUUCAGCCCGCAACAAAUUAUUUUCCCUAGUAAUUAGAAAACCUAACUAAUCGGAUACAUCACUUUCAAAAAGAGGUGCUUCAGUUUACCAAUUCAUGCCUGCUACGAGCGUAACUCUUGAUGCCAGCUACAUGGAGCAAUGAGAAAUCUGAAUAACUUUCUUCUUGGCUGGAUGAGACAAGCCGCCUACUUCCCCAGAGGGCCUCAUGUUUUCUCCCAAUGCUAAAUAUUUUCUUUAUAUUCCAACAGGAGCUCUCAACUUAUUUUUGUUUUCUGCAAUACUUGCUAGCCUCAAUUGUUCAUACGCAGGGAGCUCACUUCCAACUCUUGUUGCUUCCAUCUUUUCUCCUGUAAAUAGCACAUAUCAGACCAUGAUGCUUAAUAAAAAAAUAGUGCAAAAGAUAUGAAAAGUGAGUAAAUUAUGUAACGAUUUAAAUACAUGGCCACAACUUUUAUUGAGAAGCAGAAGAUUAAAACUGCACCAUCCACCAAGCAAUUUCGUGUGAAGUAGCAUAAUUAAGAAACAUAGUUAAGAAAAUAUAGGAAACAUAGUGAUGAAAAAUAGGAAACAUAGUUAUGAAAUAUGGAUAGGAGAAGUGGGCAUUCACUUCGAAUAUACAUACCAAAUAGACAAAAAUUAAAUAAUGGGGCGCCAAGGAAGAAUAAACUGAGACUAGAGAAAUGCAAUUUUCCAUCACCCCUUUUAUCCCUAAAAUUUUGUGACUUUGAUUUCUGAAUUUUAUGGAGCUCUCCACUUGAGCAGACUAAAACAGAAGUUAAAUGUGAUAUGCCACAAACAGACUUGAGCAUACAGUAAGUGGAGGCUAUGUUGGCAGAUUUAGAAGGUUUCUUGAUUCAAUAUGCAAACAUUAAAGUUGUGAUUCGUGAGCACCUAGAUUAUGAGAAAACUACAGAUUAGGAGUGAAAGAACAAGAAAAUAUCCAGUACAAGAAAAAGAAAAUACAUACAUGAGAUACACUGGAGGCACUACUAUGGACCAUACACAAUUGUAAGGCUAAACCUCAGUCCCUGUUUUCACGGCAUAAACAAAGGAAAUAAAAGGAUCACAG
rnacentral:lncRNA from 1 species